UUUAUAGGAUAGUGGGGGAGGGGUGAGUAAUAGGUGAGAAAUGUGAAAGAGAAGGGGGGAUAAGAGGGGGAAAUUGUUGAUAAUAGAGGAUAAAUUAGUUUUAAUGUAUGUUAGAAGUGGGAAAGGGUUUAGGGAUGUGGGAUGGGUUAGAGAAUUAUUAGGUUGUUGGUGGGGUAAGGGAAUAAGAGGGGUGGGAUGGGUAGGUGGUAUGAGAGGAAGAUAAGUUAUAGUGGAAAUGAGAGAUGGUAUAGACUCCUACGGGAGGCAGCAGUGGGGAAUAUUGCACAAUGGGCGAAAGCCUGAUGCAGCGACGCCGCGUGGAGGAUGAAGGCUUUCGGGUCGUAAACUCCUGUCUGGGGGGAUGAAUUUUUGACAGUACCCCCGGAGGAAGCCCCGGCUAACUACGUGCCAGCAGCCGCGGUAAUACGUAGGGGGCGAGCGUUGUCCGGAAUUACUGGGCGUAAAGCGCGCGCAGGUGGCUUGUUAAGUCAGGUGUCAAAAUGCGGAGCUCAACUCCGCAGCGCACUUGAAACUGGCAGGCUUGAGUGCAGGAGAGGAAAGUGGAAUUCCUAGUGUAGCGGUGAAAUGCGUAGAUAUUAGGAGGAACACCAGUGGCGAAGGCGACUUUCUGGACUGCAACUGACACUGAGGCGCGAAAGCUAGGGGAGCAAACAGGAUUAGAUACCCUGGUAGUCCUAGCCGUAAAAGAAUGGGAACUAGGUGUUGGGGGUGCAAUUCCUCCAGUGCCGCAGUUAACGCAUUAAGUACCCCGCCUGGGGACUACGGCCGCAAGGCUGAAACUCAAAGGAAUUGACGGGGGCCCGCACAAGCAGCGGAGCAUGUGGUUUAAUUCGAUGCAACGCGAAAAACCUUACCAGGGCUUGACAUCCUCUGAAGCUAUAAGAGAUUAUAGUGUCCCUUCGGGGCAGAGAGACAGGUGGUGCAUGGUUGUCGUCAGCCCGUGUCGUGAGAUGUUGGGUUAAGUCCCGCAACGAGCGCAACCCCUAUUCUCAGUUGCCAGCACUUCAAGGUGGGCACUCUGAGGAGACUGCCGGUGACAAACCGGAGGAAGGUGGGGAUGACGUCAAAUCAUCAUGCCCCUUAUGUCCUGGGCUACACACGUGCUACAAUGGCCUGAACAACGGGCGUGCGAAGGAGCGAUCCGGAGCAAAUCCCUUAAAUCAGGUCCCAGUUCGGAUUGCAGGCUGCAACUCGCCUGCAUGAAGCAGGAGUUGCUAGUAAUCGCGGAUCAGAGUGCCGCGGUGAAUGCGUUCCCGGGUCUUGUACACACCGCCCGUCA
rnacentral:rRNA from 1 species